UAGAGUUUGAUCCGGCUCAGGACGAACGCUGGCGGCGUGCUUAACACAUGCAAGUCGAGCGGAAAGGCCCUUCGGGGUACUCGAGCGGCGAACGGGUGAGUAACACGUGAGUAACCUGCCCUGGGCUUUGGGAUAACCCUCGGAAACGGGGGCUAAUACCGGAUAUCCACUUGUGAUCGCAUGGUUGUGGGUGGAAAGUUUUUCGGCCUGGGAUGGGCUCGCGGCCUAUCAGCUUGUUGGUGGGGUGAUGGCCUACCAAGGCGACGACGGGUAGCCGGCCUGAGAGGGCGACCGGCCACACUGGGACUGAGACACGGCCCAGACUCCUACGGGAGGCAGCAGUGGGGAAUAUUGCACAAUGGGCGGAAGCCUGAUGCAGCGACGCCGCGUGAGGGAUGACGGCCUUCGGGUUGUAAACCUUUUUCAGCAGGGACGAAGCGUAAGUGACGGUACCUGCAGAAGAAGCGCCGGCCAACUACGUGCCAGCAGCCGCGGUAAGACGUAGGGCGCGAGCGUUGUCCGGAUUUAUUGGGCGUAAAGAGCUCGUAGGCGGCUUGUCGCGUCGGCUGUGAAAUCCCGUGGCUCAACUGCGGGCUUGCAGCCGAUACGGGCAGGCUAGAGUUCGGUAGGGGAGACUGGAAUUCCUGGUGUAGCGGUGAAAUGCGCAGAUAUCAGGAGGAACACCGGUGGCGAAGGCGGGUCUCUGGGCCGAUACUGACGCUGAGGAGCGAAAGCGUGGGGAGCGAACAGGAUUAGAUACCCUGGUAGUCCACGCUGUAAACGUUGGGCGCUAGGUGUGGGGGGCCUCUCCGGUUCUCUGUGCCGCAGCUAACGCAUUAAGCGCCCCGCCUGGGGAGUACGGCCGCAAGGCUAA
rnacentral:rRNA from 1 species